CAUUUAUAUAAUAUUUUGGAAAUAAAAACAUAACUAGAGAACAGAUACAUUGUUGGCAGGGGUCAAGGACAAGGCGGGGAGCGUGGCUGGGGGUGUGGCUCUAAAAGGGCAACCCAGGGAUCCUUGUGGAGUUGGAGCUCUUCAGUGCCACAUUCAUCAAACCAGUGUUCUGCAGGAAUCCAAUAGGUGAUACCAUUGUAAAACACACAAGUACAAAUAAAAGUGGGGUAAUCCCAGUAAGGUUGGUGGAUUGUAUCAGUAUUCAUAGCCUGGUCGCGAUAUUGUACUACACUUCUGUAAAAUGUUACCACUGGGCAAAACCUGGCAAACUAUACAAAGGAGUUCUUUGUACAGUUUCUUACAACUACAUAUGAAUCUUUACUUACCUCAGUAAAAUAUUCCAUUAAAAACAAAUAUUAUGGUCAUACGUGAGGUUCCCUCUUUUUGUGCCCUGUGAACCUCUCGCUUGACUUCUAGUUCUCUUGGCGCAGAAGAUGUAGUCUCUGAAGCAAAUCAGUCACCAUGGAUAGAGAUGACUAUGUAAACUUCUUUUUGGACCUCUACACCCAAGUGGGCUGGACUGUAGCCCCUAGGGGUGCGGGCUGGGCUGAGGACUAUCACUAGCUCCACUGGCCCUCUCCCCACUCCCUUGAAGGCACCUAGGCCUGUGUGCCUUGGCUCACCAUGACAGAUUCAGUGCUGGAAGCACGCAGUAUUGUUUUUUUCUCUCACAGGAGGCCCAAGGUGAAAGAGACAGAGCUGAGCAACCUUGAAGAGAAACAGUGUCCAGGCUAGGUGAAAACACUGUAAAUAUUUACUCUGAUUUCAAAGGAAGAGAGAAGAGGAUGAGGGGCAGGAGGGAGAUUCGUCUUGAGCAGCUAGAGAGAGGAAGCCAGAAUUAUGUCUGGAUUUUAAUCACAAGGAGCUUUAUACAGCCCCAGGGGGGAAAUGUCCAUUGCUGUGUUCUUUGCAGACAAGACACAGUAAGAAGUAGGUGCUGGGAGAUAAGUGCAGGCUGUGUUCCCCACCCGAUUCUGCCCUCUUCUCAGCCAGGAGCAAGGUGCCUAUCUGAUGGGAAGUCUAUUCCUCACUGGAGGCUGAGCACUGCCCGUUUGGGGCACAGCUGAUGAGAGUGCAUCAGGAGACACAUCCCUGAGUUUCUGCAAGGAGGAUGUGUCAGCCUCACCACCACACCUACUCCUGCA
rnacentral:lncRNA from 1 species